GCCCAAUAGAUCGGGAUAACACCUGGAAACAGAUGCUAAUACCGGAUAACAACAGAUGAUGCCUAUCAACUGUUUAAAAAGAUGGUUCUGCUAUCACUCUUGGAUGGACCUGCGGUUCAUUAGCUAGUUGGUAGGGUAACGGCCUGCCAAGGCGAUGAUGCAUAGCCGAGUUGAGAGACUGAUCGGCCACAUUGGGACUGAGACACGGCCCAAACUCCUACGGGAGGCAGCAGCG
rnacentral:rRNA from 1 species